GUGAGGUAGCAAGAUGGAAGAGAAGAGGGGAAGGAAACUGGGCCGGGAGGGGAGGAGGAGGCACAGCGGGUUCUGGGAGCGGGCGUGUCCCAGACGGCGUGGCAGCAGAAAGCGGGUCCCAGGGGCAACCCAGGAUCUCCAGAGCCUUUUCCGGCCAAUGCCGACGAGGGGCUCCUUCAGUUCAGGAGUUACUAGAAAACCAGAAGCCCGAAACCCCUUCUUCUAGGAAUCAACGCCUAAGGCUGGCUGCCGGGUCCCCGGCGCCCCCCACGGCCGAGCGAGCCCGCGGGGGCUGCCCCUUAAGAGCCCAAGCCUCCGGGUGGUGGUCGGGGAGGGGGCCCAAGGCCCCUCCAUUCCGAGGGAAAUCAAUGCCGCGUUAAUCCCAGACAGAGGAUCCAGCUGGAACAAUGACGGGGGCCUGCCCAGCCAGCCCCAGCUGCUUCCUUUUCAGUGGCCCUGUGCCCCCUGCCAGAUCCUGCCUGGGGGAACUGGAGUCUGGGUCCACGAUGGAAAUCUGCCCUUGAAGAACUGCCCCCAGGGAUGGAUUCCAGUGCUAUGCUCCACGUAGCACCUUCCCUACCCCACUUCCUACUCCUCAAGCCCCUCUAGGUCCUGGUGACAUCCACUCCUCCAGCCAGCCCUCCCAGCCUGCUGGCACUUGCUCCCUACUGUUUCCCAUGGGGUUGGGCAGUGGGAUCUGGCUGCCUAGGUUCAGAUCCAGGCCUCACCUCUUUCUGCCUGUAUUCCCCCCCACCCUCGCCCCCGGCAGCUUGGUUAACCAUUCAGAGCCUCAGUGUCCCCAUCUGUCAAACGAGGGUAGCUUUGAAAACCUAUGGCAUGAGACUUUGAUGAUGCUGAAAGGUCAUAUGUGCAAACUGGGUAGAAGAACCCUAGGCCUGUUGCUAGAGCCACACCGGCUCCUCACGUGUGCCAAGCUGCUUCAGUGGUGUCCGAUCCUUUGUGAACCCGUGGACUGUAGCCCACCAGGCUUCUCUGUCCAUGGGGAUUCUGCAGGCAAGAAUACAGGAGUGGGUUGCCAUGUCCUCCUCCAGAGGAUCUUCCUGACCCAGGGAUCAAACUCAAGUCUCUGACAUCUCCUACAUUGGCAGGCAGGUCCUUUACCACUAGCGUCACUUGGGAAGACCUUAUACUGGCCCCUCACUAAACCCCAAACACACCCGGCAUGCUCCUACCUCUAGGCUUCCCACUGGAUGUUCCUUCCAGAUGUCCCCACGGCUCCCUCCUCCCUUUACUCACAUCUGUGCUAGUGUGCCGCCUCCUCAGAAGGACCCUCCCAAGCCAUCGCCAGGCUGUUUGCCAUCACUCGUUUGUCACCACCUGGCAUUAUAUUACUUACCCGAGCUUAGGCUCCGCAACCCAAGGGCCCUGGCUUCACAGUUAUUGGCUGUGUGACCUUGGGCAUGUUACUUAACUUCUCUGAACUUCAAUCCCCUCAUUUUUAAAAUGGGGAUAGUAAUAAACUGGUCUCAUACAACUGUUGGGUGAAUAAGUGACUUAGCAGAUGGAACACCUUCAGAACAGUGCGUGGCCCACACUAGGUGGUAUUCCCAAAACUAAUUUUGUUUCUCUUAUUUUUGAGUACCCUCUCUCCUUCCCUCCCAGCCCCACCCCCAACUAGAAUGUAUGCCCUCCUGAGGGCUAAUACUUCAGGGGGCAGUCUUUGUUUUAUUCACUGCUCUAUUCUCAGUACUCAAAUGACCUGGUAUCUAAUAGAUGCUCAAUAGUUGUUUGUUAAAUGAAUAAAAGAGGUUCUACUGGACCUGUCCGAGUCUCAGUUUUCUCAUCUGUAAAAUGGGAUGAUAAUAGCAUGUACUUCACAGAUGUUGAGGAUUCCAUGAAAUAAGCGCUAUUAACUAUUUUUUGCAGUAAUUCAGUGAGUCUACAAACAUAAUACCUAGUAUUAAUACUUAGUACACAAUGUAAUUGUGUAUUAUAUAUGUAAUUGUAUAUCAUAUAAUAUUGUAUAUAAUAUAUAAUUCUAGAUCUAGAAGCAGGGAGAAUUAUGAGAGAUACCUUUUACUGCCUCCAACACUCUUGGUUUCUUCCUUUGCUAACAGAGUAUUUGCUCUGAUUAGUUGGCAGAUUCCCUGUCCUCUGCUUCCCGCCCAGCCUCCCUUGCUUCUCAUUGGCCAUAAGUGUGGCUGAGUGACACAUUUCUAGCCAAUGAAACCCAAGCCAAAGUUGGCUGAGGGGUUCAGGGGAGGAUGAGCCUAUUAUAUGAGCCUCCAUUGCCUUAUCGGAAAAGGUAAUGGCAACCCACUCCAGUACUCUUGCCUGGAGAAUCCCAUGGAUGGAGGAGCGGGUAGGCUGCUGUCCAUGGGGUCGCUAAGAGUCGGAUAUGACUGAGUGACUUCAUUUUCACUUUUCACUUUGAUGCAUUGGAGAAGGAAAUGGCAACCCAGUCCAGUGUUCUUGCCUGGAGAAUCCCAAGGAUGGGGGAGCCUGGUGGGCUGCCGUCUAUUGGGUCGCUAAGAGUCGGACAGGACUGAAGCGACUUAGCAGCAGCAGCAGCCAUUGCCUUAUAUAUAAAAUGGGGAUUAACAACAGCAACGAGCUGGGGUGAAGAUCACACAACUGAUCUAGAGGGAUCUAGGUGACCAUGGGAAUCUAAGUGGUGUUAGCCGUUGGUUUCCAGCAGCACCAAACUCCAGAUUGUCUGGUGACAAAAAGGCAACUUUUUGUUUAAGCCACUGCUGUUCAGGUAUUUUUAUAUUUGCAGCCCAAUGUAUUCCCAUAUAAUGACACUGAAUUUUUCUGGAUCUCCAAAAAUACUCAGGAUAGGGUUUUGUUGUUUAGUCACUAAGUCAUAUCUAACUCUUUGCAACCCCAUGGACUGUAGCCUGCCAGGCUCCUCUGUCCAUGGGGUUUUCCAGGCAAGAAUACUGGAGUGGGUUGCCAUUUCCUCCUCCAGGGGAUCUUCCCAACCUAGGGAUUGAACUCAGUCUCCUGCAUUGGCAGGCAGAUUCUUUACCACUGAGCCACCAGGGAUAGGGUAGCUGUUUAUUAACAUUUUUAUGUUAACAAAAUAUAGAUUGAGACUCAGGCACUGCAACAUUAAAAAAAGAAAAAAAAUGGAGAAGUGUGUGCAUUUAACUGGGCCCCUGUGCAGCCCAGGAAGAGGUGAUAAGAAACAGUCUAUAAGGGAAGGAGAGAGUUACAAGGUAAAUUGUGUCCCCCCCUCCAAAAAAAAUACAUGUUAAAGUCCUAACUCCCAGUACCUCUGAAUGUAACCUGAUUUGGAAAGAAGGUUGUUGCAGAUGUGUGUAGUUAAAAUGAUGUCAUGCUGGAGUAGGGUGGGACCUUAAUCCAAUAUGACUGAAUUAUAUUAUACAUUUCUUCUAAGGAAAGAGACAGACACACAACGGGAGAAUGCUACAUGGUGAUGGAGACAGCCUGGAGUGAUGUGUCUGCAAGCCAAGGAAUGCCAAGGAUGGCUGACAACCACGAGAAGCUGGGAGAGGCAUGGAGAGAGCAUCCCCUAGAGACCUCCGGGAGAGCGGGGCCCUGCUGACACCUUGAUUUCAGAGUUCUGAUGUCCAGAACUGUGAGAUGAUAUAUUCCUUUUUUAAAUUUUUUUUUGCUAUUUAUUUAUUUAUGGCUGUACUGGGUCUUCGUGGCUGCACGUGCGUUUUCUCUAGUUGUGGCGAGUGGGAGCUACUCUGUUGCAGUACACAAGCUUCUCAUUGUGGUGGCUUCAGCUCCGUGAAAGUGUUAGUGGCUCAGUCAUGUCCGACUCUUUGUGACCCCAUGAACUGUAGCCCUUCAGCCUCCUAUGUCCAUGGAAUUCUCCAGGCAAGAAUACUGGAGUGGGUAGCAAUGCCCUUCUCCAGGGGGUCUUCCUGACCCAGGAAUCAAACCAGGGUCUCCUGCAUUUCGGGCAGAUUCUUUACUGUCUGAGCCACCAGUGAAGCCUUUCAGCUCAAUGACUUGGAGCAAAUCUUUUGCCCACUCCUGGCUUUUGUAUGCUUAGCACUCUCUGCAGUCCCAAGGCAUAAACGUGGACAACGGGUCCUCUGUCCCAUGGACAUGGCAUCACUUCACAUACUGCGAAGCCCUUCCAGCCUUCCAGAAUCUCCCCAGGCAGAAUUAAUGCAUUCCAAGUGCCUCAGUGCAGGGUUAGGUGGCUGCUGUCAUUACUGAGAAUUUAAGGCUAUUGAUGUCCUUGUUUCUCCAGCAAGUCAAGAACCUCCCUGAGAGCAAGAAAUGGCCUUUCAUUGAUGCAGCCCAGUGUGACAGAACUAUCUUCUGGUAAAACAAAGGGGUGUAACUCCCUUUAGGUGCACAGGCAGUCAGUAAUGUCCAUCUGGUCAAAAGCAAGAGAAUUUACAUGUGUGACACAAGCUGAAUCUCAGUGAAGACCCCAGUGCUGCUGUUAAAACGGCCUGGGUUCAAAUCCCAGUCCAACCUAGGACUGGCUGAAUCAGUUGUAAGUGAGUGACUUUGUUGCUCUGUACCUCAGUUUCUCUGACUGUAAAAUGGGGAAUAGUGGCAAUCCUACCUGGUUGGAUCAUUUCAAGGAUUAUGUUUUUUUUUAAGUUGAAGUAUAAUUGCUUUAGGGCUUCCCUGGUGGCUCAGUGGCAAAGAAUCCACCAGCAAUGCAAAAGAUGUGGGUUCAAUUCCUGGGUUGGGAAGAUCCCCCUGGAGGAGAGCAUGACAACCCACUCCAGUAUUCUUGCCUAGAAAAUUCCAAGGACAAGAGGAACCUGGUGGGCUAUAGUUCAUAGGGUUGCAAAAAGUCAACAUAACUCAGUGACUGAGCACAGCACACACACACAUAACUGUUUUACAAUUCUGUGUUAGUUUCAGGUAUGUAGCAAAGUGAGUCAGUUAUACAUACGCAUAUAUCCACUCUGUUUUAGAUUCUUUUCCCAUACAGGUUAUUACAGAGUAUCAAGUAGUUCCCUGUGUAUACAGUAGGUCCUUAUUAUUUAUCUGUUUGAUAUACAGUACUGUGUAUAUGAAGGAUUAAACCUUUAAUCCAUUUGAGUUCAUUUCACCAGUGAUAUAAGAAAGGGAUCUGGUUUCAUUCUUUCACAUGUGAAUAUCCAGUUUUCCCAGAACCAGACUUCCCUGGUGGCUCAGACGGUAAAACAUCUGCCUGCAAUGCAGGAGACCCGGGUUUGAUUCCUGGGUUGGGAAGAUCCCCUGCAGAAGGAAAUGGCAAUCCACUCCAGCACUCUUGCCUGGAAAAUCUCAUGGACGGAGGAGCCUGAUAGGCUACAGUCCAUGGGGUCGAAAAGAGUCGGACACGACUGAGCGACUUCACUUUCACUUUCACCUUUUCUCUAUUGAAUCUUCUUGGGUCCUUUGUCAAAUAUUAGUUGACCAAAUAUGUAUGGGUUUACUUCCAGGCCUCUUGAUUCCAUCCUACUGGUCUAUGUGUCUUUUUUUUAGUGCCAAUACUAUACUGUUUUGAUUACUAUUGCUUUGUAAUACAGUGUGAAAACAAGAUGUUUGAUGCCUCCGGCUUUGUUCUUGCUCCCUUCAAGGAUUAAAUGAGAUCAUACCAUACUCAGAAGUUAGAUGCACAGUAAGUACGUAAUGAGUGUUGGUUCCACACAUGAGUGGGCAGCACUGGCAGAGUGUGUGCAUGGAGAAAGAUGUGAGGCCAGCAAGCUGCCCCCCAGGGGCCAUACGGUCAGCACCAGUGGACUAAGAACUCUUCCCUUAUAUCAUUUUCUUCCUUAUGCAGGUACAGGAAGAGAAAGGGGCUGACUGGGGGUGAUUCGAGAUCCAAUCUAGCCUGACUUGACACUUUACUUCAUCAUUACUGAGCACCUACUGUAUGCCAGGCUCCUUCUGGCUGCAGAGGCAGCUCAGACCUGCCUGGGAGUAACCAGACCUUCCGGAGAAUCCAUUGCCCUGUGAGCAUCCUUCAACCAAAGAACACACCCCAGCUCCCUCAACCCUCAAUGAGAUGACUCUGAAGUGCAGGUGCCACAGGUCUCCGGAGACGGAGGAGAAUUAAGCCCUAGGUGUUCCAGUAUAACCUGCUCAUGAAUGUGCUC
ensembl:lncRNA